GGCCCCGUAGUUCAAUGGAUAGAAUAGAAGUUUCCUAAACUUUAGAUGCAAGUUCGAUUCUUGCCGGGGCCAC
rnacentral:tRNA from 1 species